rnacentral:rRNA from 1 species
UAGGGAAUCUUCCGCAAUGGGCGAAAGCCUGACGGAGCAACGCCGCGUGAGUGAUGAAGGUCUUCGGAUCGUAAAACUCUGUUAUUAGGGAAGAACAAAUGUGUAAGUAACUAUGCACAUCUUGACGGUACCUAAUCAGAAAGCCACGGCUAACUACGUGCCAGCAGCCGCGGUAAUACGUAGGUGGCAAGCGUUAUCCGGAAUUAUUGGGCGUAAAGCGCGCGUAGGCGGUUUUUUAAGUCUGAUGUGAAAGCCCACGGCUCAACCGUGGAGGGUCAUUGGAAACUGGAAAACUUGAGUGCAGAAGAGGGAAGUGGAAUUCCAUGUGUAGCGGUGAAAUGCGCAGAGAUAUGGAGGAACACCAGUGGCGAAGGCGACUUUCUGGUCUGUAACUGACGCUGAUGUGCGAAAGCGUGGGGAUCAAACAGG